AGAGUUUGAUCCUGGCUCAGAGCGAACGCUGGCGGCAGGCCUAACACAUGCAAGUCGAACGAACUCUUCGGAGUUAGUGGCGGACGGGUGAGUAACACGUGGGAACGUGCCUUUAGGUUCGGAAUAGCUCCUGGAAACGGGUGGUAAUGCCGAAUGUGCCCUUCGGGGGAAAGAUUUAUCGCCUUUAGAGCGGCCCGCGUCUGAUUAGCUAGUUGGUGGGGUAAUGGCCCACCAAGGCUACGAUCAGUAGCUGGUCUGAGAGGAUGACCAGCCACAUUGGGACUGAGACACGGCCCAAACUCCUACGGGAGGCAGCAGUGGGGAAUCUUGCGCAAUGGGCGAAAGCCUGACGCAGCCAUGCCGCGUGUAUGAUGAAGGUCUUAGGAUUGUAAAAUACUUUCACCGGUGAAGAUAAUGACUGUAGCCGGAGAAGAAGCCCCGGCUAACUUCGUGCCAGCAGCCGCGGUAAUACGAAGGGGGCUAGCGUUGCUCGGAAUUACUGGGCGUAAAGGGAGCGUAGGCGGACAUUUAAGUCAGAGGUGAAAUCCCGGAGCUUAACUUCGGAACUGCCUUUGAUACUGGGUGUCUUGAGUGUGAGAGAGGUAUGUGGAACUCCGAGUGUAGAGGUGAAAUUCGUAGAUAUUCGGAAGAACACCAGUGGCGAAGGCGACAUACUGGCUCAUUACUGACGCUGAGGCUCGAAAGCGUGGGGAGCAAACAGGAUUAGAUACCCCGGUAGUCCAA
rnacentral:rRNA from 1 species